rnacentral:rRNA from 1 species
UACAGAGGGUGCGAGCGUUAAUCGGAAUUACUGGGCGUAAAGCGUGCGUAGACGGCUAUCUAAGUCGGGUGUGAAAGCCCCGGGCUCAACCUGGGAAUUGCAUUCGAGACUGAAUAGCUAGGGUACGGUAGAGGGAAGCGGAAUUUCCGGUGUAGCGGUGAAAUGCGUAGAUAUCGGAAGGAACAUCAGUGGCGAAAGCGGCUUCCUGGACCAGUACCGACGUUCAGGCACGAAAGCGUGGGAGCAA